rnacentral:rRNA from 1 species
UCGAGAAUAUUCGACAAUGGGCGAAAGCCUGAUCGAGCGACGCCGCGUGCAGGAUGAAGGCCCUCGGGUUGUAAACUGCGGUAGUAGGGGAGGAACGCAAGUGACUGUACCCUACGGAAAGUGGUUGGUAACUACGUGCCAGCACCAGCGGUAAUACGUAGACCACAAGCGUUAUCCGGAUUUAUUGGGCGUAAAGAGCAUGUAGGAGGUCCGGUGCGUCUCUGGUUAAAGCCCACCGCCUAACGGUGGAAGUGCCAGAGAUACGAUCGGACUGGAGGAUGUGAGAGGUGCAUGGAACUCACGGUGUAGGGGUGAAAUCCGUUGAUAUCGUGGGGAACACCAAAGGCGAAGGCAGCGCACUGGCCAAAAUCUGACGCUCACACACGAAAGCUAGGGUAGCGAAGAGGAUUAGAUACCCCUGUAGUCCCUGAGCGGGCUGGCAAGGCGCAU